UGUGUGUGUGUGUGUCAGUGUGUGUGUGUGUGUCUGUGUGUGUGUGCAUGUGUGGUUGUGUGUGUGUGUGUGUGUGUGUGUGGUCUCUCCACAGGCUGGGUUGGUGUAAUCUCACAGAGGGCUGCUGUGGUGUUCUGGCCUCAGUCCUGCGCUCUCCUCACUCAGAGCUGAGAGAUCUGGAGCUCAGAGACAAUGAGCUGCAGGAUUCAGGAGUGAGAGCGCUCUCUGCUGGACUGGAAGACCCACACUGUAAACUGCAGAGACUUGGGCUGUCAGGCUGUAGAGUCACACAGAGAGGCUGUGAUUCUCUGGCUUCAGCUCUGUGUUCAAACCCCUCACACCUGAGAGAGCUGGACCUGAGAUACAAUCACCCGGGAGACUCAGGAGUGAGAGCGCUGUCUGCUGCUAAACUGGACACACUCACACUGCUUGUGGACCAUGGAGGAGAGAACAGGACCAAACCAGGACCCAGGAAAUACGGCUGUCAGCUCACACUGGAUCCAAACACAGUGAACAGAAACCUGUCUCUGUCUGAGGGGAACAGGAGGGUGACACACACAUGGGGGAGAGUGGAGCCAUAUCCUGAUCAUCCAGAGAGAUUUGAGGGCUGGCCCCAGGUUGUGUGCAGAGAGAGUGUGUGUGAGCGCUGUUACUGGGAGGCUGAGUUCAGUGUGUCUAAGGGGGGAGAGGUUCAUAUAGCAGUGACAGAUAAAGGAAUCAGCAGGAAAGGAGGGCGUUCUGACAGUAUGUUUGGACGAAUUAAAAACUCCUGGA